rnacentral:tRNA from 1 species
GUGAUUUUAGUUUAAUUAAAAAUUAUAGUUUGUCCCACUAUAGAUGGUGUAUACCAAGUCGCU